UAGCCAUGGUACAGACACUGAUUCAACAGUUCUUUGAAUCUUUCCUAGACUUGAUAGAACGUUUCAAUGUCCUUUUGGGAAAAUGUAGAAAUAUGUCAUCUUAGACA